UGGGCUUGACAUCUUGGGACUCCGAAGAGGGGCCGUGGUUUCUCACGGCUUUCCCCAAGAUGUCAAGCCCAGGUAAGGUUCUUCGCGUUGCGUCGAAUUAAACCACAUGCUCCACCGCUUGUGCGGGCCCCCGUCAAUUCCUUUGAGUUUUAGCCUUGCGGCCGUACUCCCCAGGCGGGGCACUUAGUGCGUUAGCUACGGCACAGAGCCCGUUGAUAAGGCCCCACACCUAGUGCCCAACGUUUACGGCGUGGACUAC
rnacentral:misc_RNA from 1 species